rnacentral:rRNA from 1 species
UACGUAGGGGGCAAGCGUUGUCCGGAAUUAUUGGGCGUAAAGAGCGCGUAGGCGGUCCGAUAAGUCGGCUGUGAAAGUCAAGGGCUCAACCCUUGAAAGCCGGCCGAUACUGUCGGACUAGAGUCCGGAAGAGGCGAGUGGAAUUCCCGGUGUAGCGGUGAAAUGCGCAGAUAUCGGGAGGAACACCAAUGGCGAAGGCAGCUCGCUGGGACGGUACUGACGCUGAGGCGCGAAGGCCAGGGGAGCAAACGGG